rnacentral:rRNA from 1 species
GACGAACGCUGGCAGCGUGCUUAACACAUGCAAGUCGAACGGAAAGGCCCUGCUUUUGUGGGGUGCUCGAGUGGCGAACGGGUGAGUAACACGUGAGUAACCUGCCCUUGACUUUGGGAUAACUUCAGGAAACUGGGGCUAAUACCGGAUAGGAGCUCCUGCUGCAUGGUGGGGGUUGGAAAGUUUCGGCGGUUGGGGAUGGACUCGCGGCUUAUCAGCUUGUUGGUGGGGUAGUGGCUUACCAAGGCUUUGACGGGUAGCCGGCCUGAGAGGGUGACCGGCCACAUUGGGACUGAGAUAUGGCCCAGACUCCUACGGGAGGCAGCAGUGGGGAAUAUUGCACAAUGGGCGGAAGCCUGAUGCAGCAACGCCGCGUGCGGGAUGACGGCCUUCGGGUUGUAAACCGCUUUCGCCUGUGACGAAGCGUGAGUGACGGUAAUGGGUAAAGAAGCACCGGCUAACUACGUG